rnacentral:rRNA from 1 species
AAUAGAUACCCUGGUAGUCCAUGCCGUAAACGUUGGGAACUAGAUGUGGGGACCAUUCCACGGUUUCCGUGUCGCAGCUAACGCAUUAAGUUCCCCGCCUGGGGAGUACGGCCGCAAGGCUAAAACUCAAAGGAAUUGACGGGGGCCCGCACAAGCGGCGGAGCAUGCGGAUUAAUUCGAUGCAACGCGAAGAACCUUACCAAGGCUUGACAUAUACGAGAACGCUCUAGAAAUAGAGAACUCUUUGGACACUCGUAUACAGGUGGUGCAUGGUUGUCGUCAGCUCGUGUCGUGAGAUGUUGGGUUAAGUCCCGCAACGAGCGCAACCCUCGUCGUAUGUUGCCAGCACGUAAUGGUGGGAACUCAUAUGAGACUGCCGGGGUCAACUCGGAGGAAGGUGGGGAUGAGGUCAAAUCAUCAUGCCCCUUAUGUCUUGGGCUUCACGCAUGCUACAAUGGGCCGGUACAAAGGGCUGCAAUACCGCAAGGUGGAGCGAAUCCCAAAAAGCCGGUCUCAGUUCGGA